UACGGAGGGUGCAAGCGUUAUCCGGAUUCACUGGGGUUAAAGGGUGCGUAGGCGGGUAUAUAAGUCAGUGGUGAAAGCUCCGGGCUUAAAUUGGAAACUGCCAUUGAUACUGUAUAUCUUGAAUAUCGUAGAGGUUAGCGGAAUGUUGCAUGUAGCGGUGAAAUGCUUAGAUAUGUUACAGAACACCAAUUGCGAAGGCAGCUAACUAUGCGAAAAUUGACGCUGAGGCACGAAAGCGUGGGGAGCAAACAGG
rnacentral:rRNA from 1 species